UACGUAGGUGGCAAGCGUUGUUCGGAAUUAUUGGGCGUAAAGGGCGCGUAGGCGGCUUGUUAAGUCGGCUGUGAAAGCCCGGGGCUCAACCCCGGAGGGUCAGCCGAUACUGGCAGGCUAGAGUACGGAAGAGGUAGCUGGAAUUCCCGGUGUAGCGGUGAAAUGCGUAGAUAUCAGGAGGAACACCGGUGGCGAAGGCGGUUCUCUGGGCAUUACCUGACGCUGAGGAGCGAAAGUGUGGGGAGCGAACAGG
rnacentral:rRNA from 1 species